GUUGUGUCUUCUAAGUAGCUAAUGCAACAGGCACACGGUUAGGAAGAACAACCUGUGUGCUAAUGGAAUGGACUGCGUUAAUCUGUACAGAAGAUUUUAUCUGUGGAUGAUGAGGUAGAAAGAUCAGGUGAAGCUGAAAUCUGUGGAAGUGUCAAAAAAGAAUGAAUGUGACAGAGGUGAGAUUGAGAUGCAGUUAGAUAUUCUUCUUGGAGAACCUAUAUGCAAGCAGUUACUUCAGUCAAAUAAUCUGUUCAGAGAUGUGUAUAAAUCAGAGUGUGGAAGCAGAUCAUGAAUAGCAAAGAUCCUUCACAUAAAAGGAGCCCAUCGUUUCUUCCAUGCAAAUGCUAUGGGGAUUGCCUCACCCAGGGCUGGAGAGCAGCCAGGAUGCAGAGCGUGACAGCUACUCCGCAGUCCACAGCAAUGCUCUAUAUACCACGAAGAUCUGAG
rnacentral:lncRNA from 1 species